CCGCCUACGUGCCGUGGGGCACUGCCCGGGCUGACGGGCGGAUAUAAGGCGGGGAGCGCGGUUCCCGGCGCUGGUGCCCUUCGGCAGCGCUGCCCGUGUUUCUCUGCUGUGCCAGGUGCAUAGCCGCAGCAAGGAUGAACGCAGGUUUCUUCCAGAUACUUAAAGCAAAAAAAGAACUCAUUCCCCUGGUUGGAGUACUGUCCUUCGCAGCAGUUGGGGCAUUCUCUUUUUCUGUCUAUUCCCUGUUCAGCAAAUCCGAUGUCAUCAUUAACAAGAGUGGCAAUCCAGAACCAUGGGAAACUGUUGAUCCUACCAAGCCACAGAAGCUAUUAACAGUCAAUCAGAAAUGGAAACCUAUAGAAGAGCUGGAAGAUGUCAGAAAGCUGACGAAGUGACAAGUUUCUGUUGCCUCAAAAAGAUUCUCAGAAUACAUGUUACUUUCAGUGAAGAAGAAAGCAAAAGUGAAACAACUGCUAACUGGAAAAAGUCCUCCUAAGUCACGGUUCGUUUGUAGGAAGUCAAAUGCACCACGUCACAGCAUAUCCAGUUCCCCAGUCUUCGUCCUUAAGAUGGAAGAUGAAUCAAGCAUUCAGAAUUAACUACGGAUCUGCUAAGUCUCAGUUCCACAGAGAUGGAGAGACACUUCCUGCUCCUCGUGAGUGAAACUCUGCCAUAAACUUCACCUUUGGCUGACAUUUAAUUUCUUGUAAAUUGGGGAUUUUAUUGUCUAUUCCCUUGUGGCAAUACAACCUAUGUAAUGGAUCCACAAUGGCCAGUGAAAGGACGUUAGAGUCAGAGUGUUAAACGUAAAGCAACUUCUAGGUUUGUUGCUACUUCUUUGAAGUUACCUGUUCUAGAAUUAGGUGAUCUUUACAGUUGUUGCUUAACAUACUCUGUUAACAGCAAAAACUGGUAUCUACAUACCUAAGCGAUGAAAUCCAAAAGUGAACCUCUUUGUGGGAGAUUUUGCAGACAGCCAGAGAGCAAGCAGGGUCAAAAUAAUACCGCUAAGGUCAGUUAACAUAUGAAGUGCAUCUGUCAUAAUUGCUAGACUGUUAGCAACAUAUCCACCUGGAAACAAAGUUGGAAAAGUCAGGAUGUAUAACAUUAAUGAUUCUACAUAACAUCCCCUUGGCAUUUCUCAUAGUUAUGUAUUUUCAGAACAGUGUGUUAAGUGUAUGAGAGCCCUUCUUUUUCCCAUUACAAUCAAGAUGCCACGCUGUAACAAAGCUACCAUAGUUACAAGUGCUGUGAAGUGUGCUUACUAUUAACACAGACAGGAUUCACCCCUGUUCUUCUCAUAGAGGCUACUUGCAUCAUAACAUUUCUCAGAUCAGGCCCAAAAUAGUUUUGUAUCUUUUCCCUUCAUGUUAUCACAUAUGUGUGUAACCUGCUAAUUCUCUUUUUCAGUCACAUCUGUUAAAUAUUUUGACAUUAGGGAACAGGGACAGAAGUCCAGUGACUCAAUGGCAACCAAAUUUACUCUGUCCUUGUUUUAUUUUCAUUACAUUAUCUUUUAACCUUCAUUAUUCCUUGUCCCGGCAGAGAUGUUUAAGUUCUGCCAAUGCAUAUUACAGACAAUGACUUUCACUUGCACGGCGCUUUUCAUUGUUAUUUAUUACCAUAUUUUUUUCUCAUAAUUAUCAGCUGGAUUGAGACAAAUAACCUCAGAUCAAAGGUUAAUAUCUUUGUUCCAAUUCAAUUGCUAAUGCUUCUACUGGAUGGGUGAGAGAUUUAAACAAUGUGCCUCUCUUAAACAUCCGUUAUCUAAAGGGGAAUCAAGGACAAGCUGUGUUUUCUUCCACAUGCACGAAGGCAGGAUGAUUUGCUCAGAGAAGAUGACAUCUUUAGUGUCAGCUUAGUUUCUCUUUUUACCUUGAGAUUGUCAUUCCUCCUGUAAAGUUUACUGCACAAAGCAUGCAGCUGGUGUGCCAUUUAGCUCCAACAUUUUGAGUAAAGGUAUCUUCAUACACAAUUACAACUGUCUCAGUGAAGAGGCUGACCAUGAGGACAUAGCAAAGGUCUGGCUGUGGAUGUGUGUACAUGUACACCUGCAGAGCUGCACUUUCUUCCCUAGCCAAACACAAGCAACGUGGCUGGUACUGUGGUAUUGCUUGUGCUGUGGGUAACUACCAGUUACAUCGCAUUUCAAACAGCUCCUUCUUCCAUCCCCCUUUCUUCAGUUGUUCAUAAGUUUCUAAGUCAAAUUCUUCUGAGACUGAAAUUUUCCAAAGGCUCUCACUGGGGGGCCUUUGGAAAAAAUGGUGAGUUUUUGAGAUUUAGCAAUUCUGCAGCUUUUUGAGUAAAAUGAGUUGUGCCUUUCCUUUGUCAAUUACUGUUCUCACACGAUUUUUUAAAAAUUAUAUGGAGUUGAGAGGUUGAGAUACUGAGUAACUCAACCUCUUUCUUAGUCAAACCAGAACAAACCAUAAUUUCUACCUCCCACAUUACAUUUGGUGGUUGAUAUGUACGACCAUUUGAAGUGUGUAUGUUCAUCCACAUGUGUUAGUUUUUACAAUCACUUCAGUCCAAGAUGAGUCAAUCCUGCUUCAGCUACCAUCUCACCUUUAAAGACUUUGAAAAUCAAAUGUUAAAGAAGGAAUUCAGGUACUGAAGCUAAUCAUAAUGCAGCAUGUGGAUUAAGACAACGUAACAGAGAUUUAUGUAAAUCUAAAGCAAAGGUCUGUUUCCAAAGGUUCCUUACUUGGUUAAAGGUACUACCUAAAGGCUGUUUAAAACACUUGGAACAAAAGAAGACAUCUAUAACCCUUACAAAUUGCUCGAUGCCCCACCACUGUUUUCAGUGACCUGUGAAGGACAGCAGUCCUCAGGGAUGAUCAAUGAGAAAUCUCUAAACACAGCUGAAAACGUCAAAACCCUGUUAGAAAAGCUAACUAGGACUUGCAAUAUCUUUUUUUCAUUUCUUGAUGCAAAGUGUAAGUUUUUAUCUGGCUUUUACAAUGACUGUUCAGCAAAUUAAACAGCAAACACUGAGGUGGGCUGGGGGAACAGGCUUGGCUGCACUUUGCAAAACAAUAUGCCAAUCAAGAUUUUGCAAAGAAACUUCUGAAAUAAGAUUUCCUUCAUCUUGUCAUCAGUAACAGACAGCAACAAAUUCCUCAACAAAUUAAUUGUCUGAUAGAGUCUUUUUCUUAGAAACUCAAAUCUGUCAAAGAUCUGUCAAAUCUGUCAAAGAAAAAGAGAGCACUAAAAUGACCUUUAUGAUCAAACUGAGCUACAGAUCAAUUCCAAAAGUUUCAAAAUUUGAAACCAACCAGUCAGCACACGACAGAGGGCUGGAGUGCAAUACAUUAAAUACAUAAGGCACUGACCCAAGACUUGAGGGCUCCAUCAUUACCCAUUCCGCUGCUGCUGUCGUCCCUUAUCAUUCAGUCACUCAGGUCAAGAUCUACAAAAAUACUGAGAUUCCCAAGUCCUCUAUUUAUUCUCUAGGGAAGCUGGAUGCCUGAAUAUUUUAUGGGUCUGGCCCUUAGUGCUGUCUGCCUCAGUGCCCAAAUAAUGAAAUAGGGCUGGUAAUAGCAUACCUUGGGGGGACAUGCCCACACCACAGCACUAACACUUUGGACAGACAAAUCUGCCGCUUGAUAUGAAGCUGUACAAGUCCUGGCUGGAAGGGAGAAAACACAGAUGAUAUGCCAGUGAUGAAAAGAGAGUUUUCACUCUCUACAUCUAUUAUUUCUAGAGUUCUGCCUGCACUCUAGGUAUGGAGAAGUCCACAACAUAAUGAAUUGGAUCCAAAGUCCCUAACAGUCACCCUUAGUGACUUCAGCACCAAGCUGGCAACGGCUCAGACGUAUUAUUCAGUAAUAAGAGGUCCUUCAGAUGUACCGAGUUCAAUGUAUGAGUAAGGAUUACUAUGUCAGACCUACAACAUUAUGCAGCUUAUCAAAUGUACCUGAGUUCAUGCUGAAACAAAAUCUCAGCCAGAGGAAAAAAUGGAGCCAUGGGGACAAAUGGAGGCAUUCAGUCUGCAAGAGCUUUGAUGCAAAGUGUCUUAUCUAUGACCCAGUGAUAUGCUGUGGCAGUGUUAUUAAUGACUAACUACAAGCUUGGAGAUGUUGAAGGACAAACUCACUUUUUUCCAUUAACACACGUUCCUGAAAUAAGGCCACAAAUAAAACUGGUGUAGGUACAGUCAGUAUUCUGGUCUUUCUAUGAAAAAUGCACCAUUUCUCCUCAGGAUUUUUGUCCCACAUUUGUGGAAUAAACUGUUAUUUACACUCGA